GUGCGUUCCAAAAGCUUCUUUCUUUCUUUCGACAGUAUCUCGCGAGAGAAAACGCGCUUAUUAAUCGUCUUAUUCUUUAUGAAACAUCAAUAUUGUUUUUUUUUUUUUUUUAAAUCACAUUUUUCCUAAUCAUCCAACGUGUUAUUAAUUGAAAUAUUAAAAAAACAAACAAACAAACAAACAUAUAUACAUCAUUGUAUUUAAAUACCUGUUGUUAUAUUAGUGAAUUAGUGUUAUAAAACCCACCCAUCCACCUACCUAAUCUGGUGCAAAAUAUUGUUGAAAAAUAUAUUUAAAAAAAAAA